AAUGAACGCUGGCGGCGUGCUUAACACAUGCAAGUCGUGCGCGAUGGUGGCUUCGGCCGCCGGAGAGCGGCGAACGGGUGAGUAACACGUGGGCAAUCUGCCUGGGGGUGUGGGAUAACCUGGGGAAACUCGGGCUAAUACCGCAUACGUUGUCGGGACCUUGGUCCUGCCAAGAAAGCUGGCCUCUGUUUACAAGCUAGCGCUCCCAGAGGAGCCCGCGGCUGAUUAGCUAGUUGGUGAGGUAAUGGCUCACCAAGGCGACGAUCAGUAGCCGGCCUGAGAGGGUGAUCGGCCACACUGGAACUGAGACACGGUCCAGACUCCUACGGGAGGCAGCAGUGGGGAAUAUUGGACAAUGGGCGAAAGCCUGAUCCAGCAACGCCGCGUGGAGGAUGAAGGUCUUCGGAUCGUAAACUCCUGUCAGAUGGGACGAACGAGCGUCGGCAAAUAGCUUGCGCUCUUGACGGUACCAUCAGAGGAAGCCCCGGCUAACUCCGUGCCAGCAGCCGCCGUAAUAC
rnacentral:rRNA from 1 species